UACGGGGGGAGCAAGCGUUGUUCGGAUUUACUGGGCGUAAAGGGCGCGUAGGCGGCCUGUGCAAGUCAGUUGUGAAAUCUCCGGGCUUAACUCGGAAAGGUCAACUGAUACUGCUCGGCUAGAGUGCGGAAGGGGCAACUGGAAUUCUCGGUGUAGCGGUGAAAUGCGUAGAUAUCGAGAGGAACACCUGCGGCGAAGGCGGGUUGCUGGGCCGACACUGACGCUGAUGCGCGAAAGCCAGGGGAGCGAACGGG
rnacentral:rRNA from 1 species